AAUAAAUGUGCGACAUGCAUGCAGGGGCACAUUCUACAGCCUUGAACACUCGAGGGACCAAUCUGGAAGCAUCCCAAGAGAGCUAAGUGGGGAAACAACAAAUGAAGGGCACCCGUGGGCCACCCUUUGGGGGAGAAUGAAUCGAUACACGUUUUUACUGAUUCGUCCCAGAACCGUCUCUGGAAGGAGGUGUCUGUACCUCUGUUUCUCCAGACACGCCGGCUGCCUCUGUUCCCUCCUGCCCCGCUGCCUCGGCCCGACCUGCCCCAGGGCACCGGGCUCCUUGAUUUCUGGUCUCCGACUCCAGUGGCCACUCCGGCCCCACCGACCUCACAGCGGCCUCGCCCUCCUCCCCGACUCUCCCCCGCACCAGGCACCACGGUUUUUUUUUCUGCUCCCUCUCUGGGAGCUCCUCCCCAGUCUCUACAUGGUGGAGCUCGCUUCCAGGUCCGUUCGCUCUCCCUGGGCUGCCUCGUCCACCCCAGGGCUUCACUCAUCAUGGAGCGUGGAUUAACAUCAUUCCCGCAAGAAGCGUCUCCCGGCCUCCGGACCGGCGGAUGUCAACUGAAGGUGAUUUCUGUCCCACCAGGGGACAUCGGGCAACGUCUGGGAGACAUUUUUGGGUGUCACAAAUGGGCCGGGAGUGUGUGUGGCUACUGGCACCCAAUGGGCAGAGGCCAGGGAUGCUCCUGAACGUCCCACAAGGCACGAGACAGCCCCCCCCACCCCCCACGACGCGGGAUGACCUGGCCCAGAAUGGCAGUAGCUCUGAGGUGAGAGACCCUGACCUGGACUAAAUCAUGGACCCGUGACACCCUUUCAGUACACACUCUAUUUCCACCGGGGAUCGCCCACCCCGAAUGUGAUUCCAUGCGUAACUGUGCAAAGAUAUUGGCCGAGUUCCAUUUCCUAAGCUUCGGAGGAUGCGUAAGUGAAUUACACUUACCGGCUCACGGUAUGUGAUACGUAACCAGCUCACGUUUAUCUAUCCCCCACCCCCAGGACCCAGCCCCAAGCGCAGAGACUGAUGGUGUGGAUUGGUAUGACACGCUCAGGGUGGGGCGGACCCGGACCAGGCAGGGGUGGCGUCCUGGCCUCCGGCUCUUCUGGGCCCUCUGUGCCACCCCAAGGUCGCCCCUUCCGUGUGGUCCCACCGCUCUGCACCCCACUCCGACCCUCGUCCCCACCCCAGGGGUCCUAAGAGACCCUUCCAGGCCAUCGGGCCCCAGCUUGCCCCUUGGUCAUCUUGGCAAACAGGCCACUCCCCCGUCAGCUGACCCAGGCAGGAGUGGGCACCUCGGUUCACCCAGCCGCCGAAGCAGGUCCACCCUUAGACCUGCUCCCUCCAUGCACACCGGCCACCCGGCUUCAGCGGUACCCAGUUUUGACCCACCUGGCCCUCGCCUUAAGCGUCUUUCCCUCCCAGUCCGUCCGUGACACGACCCGCACGGACAUCCUUCUGGCUGGUAUCACUUCCCGAUUAAAACCCCCUUCAGCGCCUCUUACGGCCCGUAGCCAGGAGCCCAAGUUCGCCAGCCUGGUCCACCUACCUUUCGCGGUCCACGACCCUCUCCAUGGCCCCCUCGCCAGCCACACCUGGCUUCAGCAAGCACACGCACCACUGUGCUUCAUGGCACGGGCCGGCCCUUCCUUCCCCUGCCCUGCGCUCCCCUGCCUCUCCUCUACCUGGAUGCUUGGAUAUCCCGUGUUCACCGUUAACAUCCACUUCUGACCUCUUCCUCACCAGUACGGCGACGCCUCAAAAGGUUAACCGCAGAAUUUCCAUCUGACCCGGCAAUUCUGCUGCUGGGAAUAUAUACAGAAGAACUGGGAGCAGGGACCCAAACGGAUUAUCUGCACACCCACGUUCAUGGCUAUACUACUGGCAAUGGCCAAAAGGCAGCAGCAACCCAAAUGUCCACCAACAGGUGAAUGGAGGAAGAAAAUGUGGUAUAUACUUAACGGUGGAAUGCUAUUCAGCCUUUAUUUUUUUUAAUUAUCUUUAAUGUUUACUUAUUUUUGAGAGAGAGAGAGAGAGAGAGAGACGGAGCACGAACAGGGGAGGGGCAGAGAGAGAGGGAGACACAGAAGCUGAAGCGGGUUCCGGGCUCUGAGCUGUCAGCACAGAGCCCGACGUGGGGCUCGAACCCGCGAACCGUGGGAUCACGACCAGAGCCGAAGUCUGGCGCUUAACCUACUGAGCCACCCAGGCGCCCUGCUAUUUGGCCUUUAUAGGGAAGGAAAUUCUGAUGCACCUAAUGAACUUUAAAACAUGAUGCUAAGUGAAGAGCCCAGAUGGGGGGCUCACAUGGCGUGUGAUCCUGCUUACACGUGGGACCUAGAACCGUCCGAUUCACAGAGGCAGAAAGAACAGUGGCAACCAGGGGCUGCGGGAUGGCGGGGAUGGGGAGUUAGUGUUUAACGGGUUUAGACUUUCAGUUAAUAUUCAGUGGGUACAGAGUUUAUAGGGCACACCUGUGGCUCUGCAAUUAAGUACUGAAUCUUUGUCCUCUCGGACCGAUGGUGGGGGUUCCUGAGGUUAAGCCCCAUGUCCGGCUCCCUGCUGACAGCGGGAGACUGGGAUUCUCUCUUUCCCUCUCUCUCUCUCCACCCCUCCCCCCAACUCUCACUCCCUUUCUCUCUCUCAAACUAAAUAAGCUUUUAAAUAAAAAUAGUAAUAACAUUGUUGUGCACACUUGAAAGCUGUCAAGAGCAGCUCAUAAAAGUCAACCUUGGGGGCAUCGCAGUUUGUGAGUUUGAGCCCCGCGUCGGGCUCUGUGCCGACAGCUCGGAGCCUGGAGCCCGCUUCGGAUUCUGUGUCUCCUCUCUCUCUCUCUCUCUC